rnacentral:rRNA from 1 species
UACGUAGGGUGCGAGCGUUAAUCGGAAUUACUGGGCGUAAAGCGUGCGCAGGCGGUGAUGUAAGACCGAUGUGAAAUCCCCGGGCUUAACCUGGGAACUGCAUUGGUGACUGCAUUGCUGGAGUAUGGCAGAGGGGGGUGGAAUUCCACGUGUAGCAGUGAAAUGCGUAGAGAUGUGGAGGAACACCGAUGGCGAAGGCAGCCCCCUGGGCCAAUACUGACGCUCAUGCAUGAAAGCGUGGGGAGCAAACAGG